CAGUGGGGAAUUUUGGCAAUGGGGGAAACCCUGAUCCAGCCAUCCCGCGUGUAUGAUGAAGGCCUUCGGGUUGUAAAGUACUUUUGGCAGAGAAGAAAAGGUACCUCCUAAUACGAGGUACUGCUGACGGUAUCUGCAGAAUAAGCACCGGCUAACUACGUGCCAGCAGCCGCGGUAAUACGUAGGGUGCAAGCGUUAAUCGGAAUUACUGGGCGUAAAGCGUGUGUAGGCGGUUCGGAAAGAAAGAUGUGAAAUCCCAGGGCUCAACCUUGGAACUGCAUUUUUAACUGCCGAGCUAGAGUAUGUCAGAGGGGGGUAGAAUUCCACGUGUAGCAGUGAAAUGCGUAGAUAUGUGGAGGAAUACCGAUGGCGAAGGCAGCCCCCUGGGAUAAUACUGACGCUCAGACACGAAGCGUGGGGAGCAAACAGGAUUAGAUACCCUGGUAGUCCCCCCCCCUAACNGAUGUCAACUAGCUUUUUGGGGCCGUUAGGCCUUAUUAGCGCACCUACCCCGUGAAGUUAACCCCCUGGGGAGUACGGUCCCAAAAUUUAAACCUCAAAGGGAAUUGGCCGGGGAACCCCCCCAAGCGGGUGGAUGAUGUGGAUUAAUUNGAUGCAACGGGGAAAANCCUUACCUACCCUUGACAUGUNUGGAAAGCCGAAGAGANUUGGCCGUGCUCGCAAGAGAACCNGAACACAGGUGCUGCAUGGCUGUCGUCANUCUCGUGUCGUGAGAUGUUGGGUUAAGUCCCCGCAACGAGCGCAACCCUUGUCANUAGUUGCUACGCAAGAGCACUCUAAUGAGACUGCCGGUGACAAACCGGAGGAAGGUGGGGAUGACGUCAAGUCCUCAUGGCCCUUAUGGGUAGGGCUUCACACGUCAUACAAUGGUCGGGACAGAGGGUCGCCAACCCGCGAGGGGGAGCCAAUCUCAGAAACCCGAUCGUAGUCCGGAUCGCAGUCUGCAACUCGACUGCGUGAAGUCGGAAUCGCUAGUAAUUCGCGGAUCAGAAUGUCGCGGGAAACUUCCC
rnacentral:rRNA from 1 species